UAAUCCUAGUUAAAAUUUUAUUAGUCCUCAUUUAAAUUCCAAGCCAAAUCCUAACUAAAUCCUAAACAAAUCCUGAAUCCUAACUAAUUCUUAAAUCCUAAAUCAAAUCCUAAUCAAAUUAAUCUAACCUUGGUGCAGUUUAAAAUCUCAAUAUCUAUUAAAUAUAAUAUUUUUAUACCUUAAGAUUUAACACAUCUUUCAACAACUAAGUUUGCAAUAAACAAAUAAAAUUUGAAAAAGAAUGAACUUAUCAAAUAUAAGAUCAAUCCUAAAUUUCACUCGAGUGUAGGCCGACCUCUUAUUCCAAUCUAAAUGUUGAACUUCUAGUUCAAAUAUCUCCUUCUUGAAUUAUUGAAUUGCCUCUAAAAUAUACUUAAACUAUGGAAAAUCAAGUCUAGUCUCUACAUAAAAAAAUUCACUUCAAUCCAAUCAAUAAAUUGCUAAAGAUCUUAAAAAUAUUUACUAACCCUCAAAUUCCAAUUUUUGAGACUUCAACCUACAAGAUCCUUUGUAUACUUCAAUCUAACCAUUCCAUUGGCCUCAAAAUCUUCACACAUACCAACAACUAAAAUAGCAACAUACUACCUAAAAUUCACUCGUAUAUACACCACAAAACUCAAGAAAUUUUCAAUUUUGUAAACAUAAUUUUAUUUUUCAAAAUCUAAUCCAACCAAGAGCAUCACUAAUUUUGAAAAUCUCCCAAAAACUGAAUAUUAACUUAAUUGACUCAAAACCAAUGCUAAAAAAUCUCUUUGCUAGUCUGCUCUCAAAUCUUUUUCAUUAAUCUACCAUAGAACCUCGAAGUUGUCGUAGAUACUUAGUUUUGUGCCUUAGAUUUGAUUUGGAUUUAGAUCCACAUUGACAACCGGUCCUCUUUGGAUAUCAAUAUUUAGUAAUUUGAGGUAAAUUUUACUUGAA
rnacentral:lncRNA from 1 species